GACGAACGCUGGCGGCGUGCUUAACACAUGCAAGUCGAACGGAAAGGCCCUGCUUUUGUGGGGUGCUCGAGUGGCGAACAGGUGAGUAACACGUGAGUAACCUGCCCUUGACUUUGGGAUAACUUCAGGAAACUGGGGCUAAUACCGGAUAGGAGCUCCUGCUGCAUGGUGGGGGUUGGAAAGUUUCGGCGGUUGGGGAUGGACUCGCGGCUUAUCAGCUUGUUGGUGGGGUAGUGGCUUACCAAGGCUUUGACGGGUAGCCGGCCUGAGAGGGUGACCGGCCACAUUGGGACUGAGAUACGGCCCAGACUCCUACGGGAGGCAGCAGUGGGGAAUAUUGCACAAUGGGCGGAAGCCUGAUGCAGCAACGCCGCGUGCGGGAUGACGGCCUUCGGGUUGUAAACCGCUUUCGCCUGUGACGAAGCGUGAGUGACGGUAAUGGGUAAAGAAGCACCGGCUAACUACGUGCCAGCAGCCGCGGUGAUACGUAGGGUGCGAGCGUUGUCCGGAUUUAUUGGGCGUAAAGGGCUCGUAGGUGGUUGAUCGCGUCGGAAGUGUAAUCUUGGGGCUUAACCCUGAGCGUGCUUUCGAUACGGGUUGACUUGAGGAAGGUAGGGGAGAAUGGAAUUCCUGGUGGAGCGGUGGAAUGCGCAGAUAUCAGGAGGAACACCAGUGGCGAAGGCGGUUCUCUGGGCCUUUCCUGACGCUGAGGAGCGAAAGCGUGGGGAGCGAACAGGCUUAGAUACCCUGGUAGUCCACGCUGUAAACGGUGGGUACUAGGUGUGGGGUCCAUUCCACGGGUUCCGUGCCGUAGCUAACGCUUUAAGUACCCCGCCUGGGGAGUACGGCCGCAAGGCUAAAACUCAAAGGAAUUGACGGGGCCCCGCACAAGCGGCGGAGCAUGCGGAUUAAUUCGAUGCAACGCGUAGAACCUUACUUGGGUUUGACAUGGAUUGGGAGUGCUCAGAGAUGGGUGUGCCUCUUUUGGGGUCGGUUCACAGGUGGUGCAUGGCUGUCGUCAGCUCGUGUCGUGAGAUGUUGGGUUAAGUCCCGCAACGAGCGCAACCCUUGUUCACUGUUGCCAGCACGUUAUGGUGGGGACUCAGUGGAGACCGCCGGGGUCAACUCGGAGGAAGGUGGGGAUGACGUCAAGUCAUCAUGCCCCUUAUGUCCGGGGCUUCACGCAUGCUACAAUGGCUGGUACAGAGAGUGGCGAGCCUGUGAGGGUGAGCGAAUCUCGGAAAGCCGGUCUCAGUUCGGAUUGGGGUCUGCAACUCGACCUCAUGAAGUCGGAGUCGCUAGUAAUCGCAGAUCAGCAACGCUGCGGUGAAUAAGUUCCCGGGGCU
rnacentral:rRNA from 1 species